GCUAGUCUGCUGAGGUAGAAAGCCUGGGCCAGGAGGCUGAAAAGGGCUGAGGCGAGAAGCAAAGCCUAGUAGAGGGGUAGUCUGGUGAUCUUCCCCAUGCAGAGGCCAGGAAGAAGCCUGCAGAGGACUCUAGCUGGGGUGGCUGUUUUGGCUAGAAGAACAGGUGGGGAGCUACAGAGUGCUGAGUGUGGCAGAGCCCACCGGAGCUGGCAUAGGGGGUGCUGGAGAUCUUGCGAUGGGGCAAACAUGCACAAGGGAGCAGGAGCAGAGUCAGGUGCUGAGACUGCCUGGAGAAUGGAGCUGAAAAUGCAGGACUGAGCCCAUGAUGCUUGUAUGUGGAAUGAGAAGCAAAUGGAAACUGCUUGUGUGCUUACUACGUGCCUUGCUGAAACAGGGCUAGUGCUCAGCCUGGGACACAGGGAGACCCCAUAAAGGAAGAGAACCAGGAAGUGAAAAUGACUAAACCCUAAACUGACUAAUGACCAGUCUAGUACUGUGUCAAUAUUGAAGCUGAAUGAAAUUUCAGAAAGUUAACAAAGCAUUAAUACUGGCAAGUCAAUUUGAUCUUUAAAAUUGUUUCAAUAACUGAUUAUAUUAUUAGUACUGAGUAAGAAGAUUUGAAUAAAAAGUUGUCUUGGGAGGGUCCCUUUAAAAGGAGACAGCAACACUGAUGUAAAAGUAAAUUAAUAUCCUGGGUUAUAAAAAAUACUUUGGGUCAGGUUUUUUGUCACUUGGUGCUACCGUUAGCAGUAUGGCCACACAUUCAAAAAUUGAGAUUUUUUUUAAAUGAAUUUUGAUUCCUUUGUCCUCUUAGAUUGGAGUGCAAAUCAGGUUUUCAAGUGGAGGGCUAGAAAUUUACUUUGUAAAAAUAAAAACUGGGCUUCUCAGGUAACGACCUGACUCCAGCAGUUGGAGCUCUUGAAAAAAUGCCAGAUAUCACAAGACUCAUGAUAAAAUCACAGGAGUGGAGAACUGACAUCCCAUAUUACAAAGUGAGUGUAGAAUGAGACUAUUCUAAUUUAGCAGCAUCCGCCACCCUAUCUGCACUAAUUUUGCACUGGUAUUAUUAGCUGCAUGAAGUGCAGGGAAAUCCAGACCCUAUGUCCUGAGAGAGAGAGAAAUCAUGUCCUAGAUUAUUCCCCCCCCCCCCCCCCCGCACGACAAGAGAGGAGAUCACGUCCAAUGUUGUUGCUAGCCAUUUAAAAACUGUGCAGAAGAGGAGGGUGGAGAAUGCUAACUGCAAGGAAGUGUCCUGCUGGAAUUGUUAAACAUGCUGGGUAAGAACAGCUGGAGGUGGAAGGCAGAUUUAGGCAACAGCCUGGGUAUUAAAAGUAGGUGAAGGUUGUAGCAGUUGCUUAUUAAUUACUACUUGGGUAACAUUACAUUAAGGAAAAAUAUCUGAAAUCUUACUUCUACUUUAAAAAAAAAAAAGUGCUGGAUGUGAUGUGCUGUGGGAGUUCCUACCUGGCUCUGCCCAGAAUCUGCCCUCCUAGGUUCUGAUUCUACACCUUAUGCACUCAUUUCCACUGGGGAGAAGUGGUGUCAUAGGUACACAUGUCCUUCUUCUCAUCUGGCAGUGACAGAUCUGGUGACCUGCUUCAACUAAUCCCUGUGCCAUUUGGUGCAGCUGCACUGAACACAAUGAAUGGCAGCUGGAGUGCAUGCAGAGAAAUACUGGGAUUCAAAUCUGCAGUACAUGACACAAACUGUGGCAUGUUCUGUUUGCUCUUCCUCCUGGCUAGUUAAUAUAAUGCACGUGCACACACACACACACACCCGCCCCUUGCUGACCUAUUCCCAGUGGUCAUUAGUGGCUCCAGGGGGCAGAGUUAAGGUUGUAUUGCAGAGUGGCCUGUAACUUAACUCUGUAUUUGCUGGCUUUCAGUAGCUUAAAUUUAGCUACUCUCCAUAUUUUGGAAGGACACAAAGCUGCACCAGGCCCCCUUUACUGAGUGUUAAUGCAGUUCUUGGGCAAUUAAUUUAGCCCAAAGUUACACCCUUCCUGGGCUUUGGCUUUAUUGGUGGUAGCAACAAUGACACGUAAACCUCAAUCUGAAGUGUUCCUAGAGCUUCCAUGCAAAGAUUUCCACUCCCAUCCCACUUACCUCUCCUACAUCCAGGGUGAAGCUAAUGAACCACAGCUGUCAGUGUGUCAGCAGGAAUCAAUUGUGCCCUGCAGGAUUUCAGUACUUGCUAAGAGGGUGGACCAACAGAAGAGCCCUGCUGCUCUGACACAGGGAGCAUAGCCUUCAGGCACCCAGGGAAUAAGAAAUCUCUUAGCAUAUGCAACUAUUCCACCCGAGCUGGGGUCUUCUGAGAUUUCACAAGCAACAUCAGAAUUGGGGUCAGGCCUAGGCAGUAGUUGGAUGGGAGACCAGCUCAGGAUGGUGCUUGUUUAGUAGGGGGAUUUCUUCUUUCAACCUGUCCCCUAGCAUGCCAUGAGAACUAUGCUUGUUAUUGCUGAAGGGAUCUUGAGGGAGGUCCAGCCCUCUUGGGAUCCCCAUGGCUCUUUUCCCCAAGAACCUGGGUGGUAUCCUUCCAUUCUGCUUGUCUCCAUUCCCCCUGCAUUUUCAAAUGGCUACAAUAGUGUUCUUCACAUCCUUUUCAGAGCUUCAUAGGGAAAGGCUUUCUCAGGCCGCUGGUCAUUCUCUGUGGAGCUGAGGUUGGAGUUAACCUCCACUGGCAAUACAGAAACAAAGCUAAUGGGACAUGUCUCUCUAUUAUGAGCCACAGGUGUAUUCUGCACAUCCAUUUUCCUUGCUUGAAUCCUUAGUGAAUUUACUAGCCCUCGGUGCACAGGAUUUCAUCAAAUGGAUUGGCCUAUUAAAUGGGAGUAAUUCCUUCACCUGUGUGUGUAAUGUUUUUUAGGUGCUUGUAUACCACACUGAGGAGGAAGUAGGUAAAUUUGUAUUUUAUUUCCCUUGUCCUUUUACUAGUUCUCAUUCAAAUGAAGAUUUAUUCCUUUCCCACUCACCUGUGCCUUCUGACUG